GCAGACGUAGCUUAAUCGGUAAAGCGUUGCGGCCGCGACACAACUAUGCUUGGGUAUGCAGGUUCAAUCCCUGCCGUCUGCG
rnacentral:tRNA from 1 species